UACAGAGGGGGCAAGCGUUGUUCGGAAUCACUGGGCGUAAAGGGCGCGUAGGCGGUCUGGUAAGCGUGUGGUGAAAGCUCGGGGCUCAACCCCGAGUCGGCCGUGCGAACUGCUGGACUGGAGCAUGUCAGAGGCAGGCGGAAUUCCGGGUGUAGCGGUGGAAUGCGUAGAGAUCCGGAAGAACACCAGUGGCGAAGGCGGCAUCCUGGACCGGCAUUGACGCUGAGGAGCGAAAGCCAGGGGAGCAAACGGG
rnacentral:rRNA from 1 species